rnacentral:rRNA from 1 species
UACAGAGGGAUAAUCAUGUGAAAACGUGACUAAUACCGCAUGUCAUUUGUUGAAGGCAUCUUCGACAAAGAAAAGGAGCAAUCCGGUAUGAGAUGGGCCCGCAUCUGAUUAGCUAGUUGGUGAGAUAACAGCCCACCAAGGCGACGAUCAGUAGCCGACCUGAGAGGGUGAUCGGCCACAUUGGGACUGAGACACGGCCCAA